GUUAGUAUAAAUUUAGAUUUAGUAAAAAAUCAUCAGCUGCAGUUGCGUUAACACCCCGCUAUUACAUUCUUUCUAAAUAGUUAAAAGUAAACAAAACAUAAUAAAUUCAAACAUGAAGAGAUCGAAGAUGAAAAGUGAAAUUGGUGUAUCAGUGGCUUAUACGUGCUGCAUAAGCAUCCUAAUCUCCAAUUCUUCAGUUUGCUAGCUCGACUUGAUUUAUCCGGAACUUGCCGGAUCGCUCGGAGGAUGAUGCGAUACAGUUUCAGAAUGUUUCAUGAUUUUUUCUUCUGAUACUGUUGUAUCGUCGAGUUUGGUUUAUAUGCAACAAAUAGUUUCCUGUUUGUAAAUUAUUAAAAAAAAAUUAGGUUCAAUUUAAACGUGAACAAAUCGAAGAUGAAAAGCGAAAAUGCUGUAUCACUUUAAUCAAAUAUAAACUUUGUGAACCUGAAA